rnacentral:rRNA from 1 species
UUAGAGCGUUCAAAAUAAGCCUACGCUCUGGAUAUAUUAGUAUGUGAUAACAUUAUAGGAUUUCGAUCCUAUUAUAUUGGCCUCUGGGAUCGGAGUAAUGAUUAACAGGAACAGUCAGGGGCAGUCAUAUUUCAUAGUUAAAGGUGAAAUUCUUGAAUUUAUGAAAAAUGAACAACUGCGAAAGUAUUUGCCAAUGAUGUUUUCAUUAAUCAAGAACGAAAGUUGAGGGCUCGAAGACGAUUAGAUACCGUCCUAAUUUAAUCGAUAAAUGAUGCCAAGCAAGGAUUGACGAAUGUUGCUUAUAGGACUCCAUCGGCA